rnacentral:rRNA from 1 species
UUUACCUAGGGGCAGCAGUGGGGAAUAUUGCACAAUGGGGGAAACCCUGAUGCAGCGACGCCGCGUGCGUGAAGAAGUAUUUCGGUAUGUAAAGCUCUAUCAGCAGGGAAGAUAAUGACGGUACCUGACUAAGAAGCCCCGGCUAACUACGUGCCAGCAGCCGCGGUAAUACGUAGGGGGCAAGCGUUAUCCGGAUUUACUGGGUGUAAAGGGAGCGUAGGUGGCAGGGCAAGUCAGAUGUGAAAACCCGGGGCUCAACUCCGGGAGUGCAUUUGAAACUGUCCAGCUAGAGUGCAGGAGAGGUA